UGGGGGAUCGUCUAACGGCAGGACAGCAGACUCUGACUCUGCUUGUGAGGGUUCGAAUCCUUCUCCCCCAG
rnacentral:tRNA from 1 species